rnacentral:rRNA from 1 species
GAGGAAUAUUGGACAAUGGGUGCAAGCCUGAUCCAGCCAUCCCGCGUGCAGGAAGACGGCCCUAUGGGUUGUAAACUGCUUUUAUAUAGGGAUAAACCUACUUACGUGUAAGUAGCUGAAGGUACUAUAUGAAUAAGCACCGGCUAACUCCGUGCCAGCAGCCGCGGUAAUACGGAGGGUGCAAGCGUUAUCCGGAUUCAUUGGGUUUAAAGGGUCCGUAGGCGGAUUUAUAAGUCAGUGGUGAAAGCCUACAGCUCAACUGUAGAACUGCCAUUGAUACUGUAAGUCUUGAGUAUAUUUGAGGUAGCUGGAAUAAGUAGUGUAGCGGUGAAAUGCAUAGAUAUUACUUAGAACACCAAUUGCGAAGGCAGGUUACCAAGAUAUAACUGACGCUGAGGGACGAAAGCGUGGGUAGCGAAC